rnacentral:rRNA from 1 species
UGGGGAAUAUUGCACAAUGGGCGCAAGCCUGAUGCAGCAACGCCGCGUGAGCGAGGAAGGCCUUCGGGUCGUAAAGCUCUGUCCUAGGGGAAGAAGAAGUGACGGUACCCAAGGAGGAAGCCCCGGCUAACUACGUGCCAGCAGCCGCGGUAAUACGUAGGGGGCGAGCGUUAUCCGGAAUUAUUGGGCGUAAAGAGUACGUAGGUGGUUUUGUAAGAGCGGGGUGAAAGGCAGUGGCUUAACCAUUGUUAGCCUUGCUAACUGCAAGACUUGAGUGCAGGAGAGGGAAGCGGAAUUCCUAGUGUAGCGGUGAAAUGCGUAGAUAUUAGGAGGAACACCAGUGGCGAAGGCGGCUUUCUGGACUGUAACUGACACUGAGGUACGAAAGCGUGGGGAGCAAACAGG